rnacentral:rRNA from 1 species
AGUCGACGGGAGGAAAAAGAAGCUUGCUUCUUUUUGAAUCUAGUGGCAAACGGGUGAGUAACACGUAAACAACCUGCCUUCAGGAUGGGGACAACAGACGGAAACGACUGCUAAUACCGAAUGUGUUCCGGAGACCGCAUGAUUUCCGGAAGAAAGGAUGGCCUCUAUUUAUAAGCUAUCGCCUGAAGAGGGGUUUGCGUCUGAUUAGGCAGUUGGUGAGGUAACGGCCCACCAAACCUACGAUCAGUAGCCGGUCUGAGAGGAUGAACGGCCACACUGGAACUGAGACACGGUCCAGACUCCUACGGGAGGCAGCAGUGGGGAAUCUUCCGCAAUGGACGAAAGUCUGACGGAGCAACGCCGCGUGAGUGAUGACGGCCUUCGGGUUGUAAAGCUCUGUGAUCGGGGACGAAUGGCUGGUGCGUUAAUACCGCAUCAGAGUGACGGUACCCGAAUAGCAAGCCACGGCUAACUACGUGCCAGCAGCCGCGGUAAUACGUAGGUGGCAAGCGUUAUCCGGAAUUAUUGGGCGUAAAGCGCGCGCAGGCGGCUUCUUAAGUCCAUCUUAAAAGUGCGGGGCUUAACCCCGUGAUGGGAUGGAAACUGGGAGGCUGGAGUAUCGGAGAGGAAAGUGGAAUUCCUAGUGUAGCGGUGAAAUGCGUAGAGAUUAGGAAGAACACCGGUGGCGAAGGCGACUUUCUGGACGACAACUGACGCUGAGGCGCGAAAGCGUGNGGAGCAAACAGGAUUANAUACCCUGGUAGUC